UGGGGAAUAUUGGACAAUGGGCGAAAGCCUGAUCCAGCAAUGCCGCGUGAGUGAUGAAGGCCUUAGGGUUGUAAAGCUCUUUUACCCGGGAUGAUAAUGACAGUACCGGGAGAAUAAGCCCCGGCUAACUCCGUGCCAGCAGCCGCGGUAAUACGGAGGGGGCUAGCGUUGUUCGGAAUUACUGGGCGUAAAGCGCGCGUAGGCGGCUUUGUAAGUUAGAGGUGAAAGCCCGGAGCUCAACUCCGGAACUGCCUUUAAGACUGCAUCGCUAGAACGAUGGAGAGGUGAGUGGAAUUCCGAGUGUAGAGGUGAAAUUCGUAGAUAUUCGCGGGAACACCAGUGGCGAAGGCGACUUGCUGGGCUUGUGGUGACGCUGAGACGCGAAAGCGUGGGGAGCAAA
rnacentral:rRNA from 1 species